UACGUAGGGCGCAAGCGUUGUCCGGAAUUAUUGGGCGUAAAGAGCUCGUAGGCGGUCUGUUACGUCCGCUGUGAAAACCCAGGGCUUAACCCUGGGCUUGCAGUGGAUACGGGCAGACUAGAGUGCGGUAGGGGAGACUGGAAUUCCUGGUGUAGCGGUGAAAUGCGCAGAUAUCAGGAGGAACACCGGUGGCGAAGGCGGGUCUCUGGGCCGUAACUGACGCUGAGGAGCGAAAGCGUGGGGAGCGAACAGG
rnacentral:rRNA from 1 species